UUUAAAGAGAGUUUGAUCCUGGCUCAGGACGAACGCUGGCGGCGUGCCUAAUACAUGCAAGUCGAACGAACGGAGGAAGAGCUUGCUCUUCCAAAGUUAGUGGCGGACGGGUGAGUAACACGUGGGCAACCUGCCUGUAAGUUGGGGAUAACUCCGGGAAACCGGGGCUAAUACCGAAUGAUAAAGUGUGGCGCAUGCCAUGCUUUUGAAAGAUGGUUUCGGCUAUCGCUUACAGAUGGGCCCGCGGUGCAUUAGCUAGUUGGUAGGGUAAUGGCCUACCAAGGCAACGAUGCAUAGCCGACCUGAGAGGGUGAUCGGCCACACUGGGACUGAGACACGGCCCAGACUCCUACGGGAGGCAGCAGUAGGGAAUCUUCCGCAAUGGACGA
rnacentral:rRNA from 1 species